rnacentral:rRNA from 1 species
AAUAGAUACCCGGGUAGUCCACGCCGUAAACGAUGGAUACUAGCUGUCCGGGCCCUCGAGGCCUGGGCGGCCAAGCGAAAGUGAUAAGUAUCCCACCUGGGGAGUACGUCCGCAAGGAUGAAACUCAAAGGAAUUGACGGGGGCCCGCACAAGCGGUGGAGCAUGUGGUCUAAUUCGAUGAUACGCGAGGAACCUUACCAGGGCUUAAAUGUAGUAUGACAGGGGCAGAGAUGCCCUUUCCUUCGGGCAUAUUGCAAGGUGCUGCAUGGUUGUCGUCAGCUCGUGCCGUGAGGUGUCAGGUUAAGUCCUAUAACGAGCGCAACCCCUGUUGCCAGUUGCCAGCGAGUAAUGUCGGGGACUCUGGCAAGACUGCCGGUGCAAACCGCGAGGAAGGCGGGGACGACGUCAAAUCAUCACGGCCCUUACGCCCUGGGCCACACACGUGCUACAAUGGCCGGCACAGAGAGCGGCCACUGGGCGACCAGGAGCGAAUCUACAAAACCGGGUCACAGUUCGGAUCGGGGCCUGCAACCCC